GAUGAAGAACUUAGCGAAAUGCGAUAAGUAAUGUGAAUUGCAGAAUUCAGUGAAUCAUCGAAUCUUUGAACGCACCUUGCGCCCUUUGGCUAUUCCGAAGGGCAUGCCUGUUUGAGUAUCAUGAACACCUCAACUCUCAUGGUUUGCCAUGAUGAGCUUGGACUCUGGGGGUCUUGCUGGCCUAUGGUCAGCUCCUCUCAAAUAAAUCAGCUUGCCAGUGUUUGGUGGCAUCACAGGUGUGAUAACUAUCUACGCUUGUGGUUUUCCAUCAGGUAACCUUCAGUGAUGGAGGUUCGCUGGAGCUCAUAAAUGUCCCUCCUCAGCGAGGACAGCUUUUUGAACAUUUGAUCUCAAAUCAGGUAGGACUACCCGCUGAACUUAAGCAUAUCAAUAAGCGGAGGA
rnacentral:misc_RNA from 1 species